UACGGAGGGUGCAAGCGUUAUCCGGAUUCACUGGGUUUAAAGGGUGCGUAGGUGGCCUGUUAAGUCAGGGGUGAAAGACGGUAGCUCAACUAUCGCAGUGCCCUUGAUACUGAUGGGCUUGAAUGAACUAGAGGUAGGCGGAAUGUGACAAGUAGGCGUGAAAUGCAUAGAUAUGUCACAGAACACCAAUUGCGAAGGCAGCUUACUAUG
rnacentral:rRNA from 1 species